AAUAAAUAAUGGAACUAGAAUCAGCCUGUGGAAGUUUCUCUAUAGUUUUAUUAUUUUUUCCAGUCAGUUAUGAUAUGUGACUUUUUCCACCUUCCAGCAAUAAUUAUUGAGAAUCUACCAAGGACUCCAUUGGCAUUGAAUCGAAGAAAAACAGUUUCAAUAUUGGAUGUAUAUGCAAAUCACCCAGAAAAAGAUCAUGUAAUAACAAAAGAAAUUAUAAAAGAAAAAAAUGGAAGAAGAAAUGGCUGGAAAAAAUGAUGAUAGAGCAGCUUUUUCUUGUUACCCACCUCGGAAGAUCAAGUUGGAAAGGGCUAUUGAUAUUGUGGAGACGUUUUCUCACAGAGCUUGCUUAUCAGACAAAGACUAUUUAACUACAUCAGAAAGAUAAAGACAGUUGGAAUGGCUAUUCAUAUUGUGGAAACUUUUCUCACGGAGCUCGAUAAUCAGGCAAAAUGCUGGAACACCAUUGAAAGAGUAUUUGCUGUAUGAUAACAACAAGAAAACCCAAGCAUCAAUUUAUUUUAUACUUCUGGGAAAGAAUGCAUUUGACCCAAUUUUUAAAUAUUUAUUUUUUGUUAUUAAUGUUAAAUUUUCUUCCAAAACACAAUUAGAUUUUAAUUCUCUUCAGAAAUGUAUGUAUUAUAUAGCAAGUAAAGUGACAUAUAAAUCACUUAGAAUUUGAUCAGAAAUCAUAAAGUAUUUAAUAGGCAUUACUAGAAACCAAAUGUAGAUCAAAUACACCCAGAAUUACAAAAAACCUUGCCCUACAUAAAGGUGACUUUCCCUUGCUUAUGAAAUAAAAUACGGUUUAGUAUCCUACUUUUCUGUGUUCUUAGAGUCAAGGGUUCUUUAACGGGAACGGGGG